rnacentral:rRNA from 1 species
UACAGAGGGUGCGAGCGUUAAUCGGAAUUACUGGGCGUAAAGCGCGCGUAGGCGGCUUUGCAAGUCGGGUGUGAAAUCCCCGGGCUCAACCUGGGAACUGCAUUUGUGACUGCAUCGCUGGAGUGCGGCAGAGGGGGAUGGAAUUCCGCGUGUAGCAGUGAAAUGCGUAGAUAUGCGGAGGAACACCGAUGGCGAAGGCAGCCCCCUGGGCUAACACUGACGCUGAGGCACGAAAGCGUGGGGAGCAAACAGG